AAUCGAUUGUUCUGCGUGUCUACAUAAGCUUGUUGGAAGAGGAUUGCUAUUAAUAUUUGGAGGGAGGCUUUUAGGCUAAGGGAAUUUUGGAAGAGUAGAAAGAUUUUGGAGAAGAGAAACUUUUAUUACUCAAAUUUGUUUUUGAUUCUUUUGGCUUGAUAUGUUGUGUGUUGUGUAUUAUAAAAAUGCCAAAUACCAUCCCAUAUUUAUAGGGGAGGCUUGUCAAGCUCUUGAGUGUCUAGAGAGUUCUACCACUUCCUAGCUU
rnacentral:lncRNA from 1 species